rnacentral:rRNA from 1 species
GCAGUCGCCGCGGUAAAACGAAGGGGGCUAGCGUUGCUCGGAAUGACUGGGCGUAAAGGGCGCGUAGGCGGAUUGUACAGUCAGACGUGAAAUUCCUGGGCUCAACCUGGGGACUGCGUUUGAGACGUGCGAUCUAGAGUUUGGAAGAGGGUCGUGGAAUUCCCAGUGUAGAGGUGAAAUUCGUAGAUAUUGGGAAGAACACCGGUGGCGAAGGCGGCGACCUGGUCCUUGACUGACGCUGAGGCGCGAAAGCGUGGGGAGCAAACAGGAUUAGAUACCCGAGUAGUCCCUGUCUCUUAUAC